rnacentral:rRNA from 1 species
ACUCAAAUGAAUUGACGGGGGCCCGCACAAGCGGUGGAGCAUGUGGUUCAAUUCGACGCAACGCGAAGAACCUUACCAGGGCUUGACAUCCUCUGUAAGCUGCAGAAAUGCAGUCCCCGUAGCAAUACGGCAGAGAGACAGGUGCUGCAUGGCUGUCGUCAGCUCGUGUCGUGAGAUGUUGGGUUAAGUCCCGCAACGAGCGCAACCCUCGUCGAAUGUUGCCAGCAUUUAGUUGGGCACUCAUUCGAGACCGCCGUUGAUAAGACGGAGGAAGGUGGGGAUGACGUCAAGUCAGCAUGGCCCUUACGUCCUGGGCCACACACGUGCUACAAUGGCCGGUACAACGGGCAGCAAGAUCGCGAGAUCAAGCGAAUCCCUUAAAACCGGUCUCAGUUCGGAUUGAAGGCUGCAACUCGCCUUCAUGAAGUCGGAAUCGCUAGUAACCGCAGAUCAGCUACGCUGCGGUGAAUACGUUCCCGGGCCUUGCACACACCGCCCGU